rnacentral:rRNA from 1 species
GAUGAACGCUGGCGGCGUGCUUAACACAUGCAAGUCGAACGGAAAGGCCCCUGCUUGCAGGGGUACUCGAGUGGCGAACGGGUGAGUAACACGUGGGUGAUCUGCCCUGCACUUCGGGAUAAGCCUCGGAAACUGGGUCUAAUACCGGAUAGGACGAUGGUUUGGAUGCCAUUGUGGAAAGUUUUUCGGUGUGGGAUGAGCUCGCGGCCUAUCAGCUUGUUGGUGGGGUAAUGGCCUACCAAGGCGUCGACGGGUAGCCGGCCUGAGAGGGUGUACGGCCACAUUGGGACUGAGAUACGGCCCAGACUCCUACGGGAGGCAGCAGUGGGGAAUAUUGCACAAUGGGCGCAAGCCUGAUGCAGCGACGCCGCGUGGGGGAUGACGGCCUUCGGGUUGUAAACUCCUUUCGCUAGGGACGAAGCGCAAGUGACGGUACCUGGAGAAGAAGCACCGGCUAACUACGUG